rnacentral:misc_RNA from 1 species
AGUUUGGUUAGGAACAUUCGAUACAGCAGAAGCUGCAGCAAGAGCAUAUGAUGAAGCUGCAUUGAGAUUUCGAGGAAACAGAGCAAAACUCAACUUCCCUGAGAACGCCAGAUUGUCAUCGUUACCACAAACACAAAAUACUGUAACGUCAACAAUCUCCAAUCCAUCCCCUCUAAUAGCUCAACCAACGUCGUUCCUCAAUCCUAUCCAGAGUUCAGAUACAACAAGAGACUACUGGGAAUACUCACAAUUGUUGCAAAAUCCAGGAGAUUUUACGGAUCAACAACCAUCAAACUUAUUGGAACAAAUGUUCGUUGCCUCAUCGAUGGCAAUGUUGCAUUCAAACACAUUGCCAUUAAUAUCUUCGUCUUCAUCGUUAGCUACAUCAGCAACUUCUUCAACGUCAUAUCCCCUGUUAUUUUCGAGUUAUUACACACCACAAACUAAUCAAAUUCAAGGAACCAACACAAGUAGCACCAGCACCACUAGCAGCUCAAGUUUUUCUACAACAUUUUGGAGUAGCUCUAGCCAAUAUCCUCCAUCUUCUAGUUAAAUUCUCAAAAUUUUCUUGCUUUUUU